GCCAGGCAUGGUGGCCUAUGCCUGUAGUCCAGCUACUUGAAAGGCUGAGGUGGGAGGAUCAUUUGAGCCCAGGAAAUUGAGGCUGCAGUGAGCCAUGCUCAUGCCACUGCAGUCCAGCCUAGGCUACAGAGUGAGACCUCAUCUCUA
ensembl:misc_RNA Metazoa_SRP Metazoan signal recognition particle RNA